UGGGUAAAACGCACAUGCAAAACACAGAACCCAAGAUUGCCACCUUGCGCAACCUUCCACUAUCAUGAGUCCAAAAUCGCGAAAGGCAAACACCGUCGCGCCUUCAUCAUGGACAAAAACCUCAAGGAAAGCUAGUCACAUAACCAACCAAAACCCCUUCGAACAACGUCGCUGCGAUUAGCGCCUCCUUCAUCAUCUUCAUCCACCCCAAAU
rnacentral:lncRNA from 1 species